rnacentral:rRNA from 1 species
UACGGGGGGAGCAAGCGUUGUUCGGAUUUACUGGGCGUAAAGGGCGCGUAGGCGGUCAGCACAAGUCAGUUGUGAAAUCUCCGGGCUUAACUCGGAAAGGUCAACUGAUACUGUGCGGCUAGAGUGCGGAAGGGGCAACUGGAAUUCUUGGUAUAGCGGUGAAAUGCGUAGAUAUCAAGAGGAACACCUGCGGCGAAGGCGGGUUGCUGGGCCGACACUGACGCUGAGGCGCGAAAGCCAGGGGAGCGAACGGG